CCUACGGGUGGCUGCAGUGAGGAAUAUUGGUCAAUGGACGAGAGUCUGAACCAGCCAAGUAGCGUGAAGGAUGACUGCCCUAUGGGUUGUAAACUUCUUUUAUAUGGGAAUAAAAUGUUCCACGUGUGGGAUUUUGUAUGUACCAUAUGAAUAAGGAUCGGCUAACUCCGUGCCAGCAGCCGCGGUAAUACGGAGGAUCCGAGCGUUAUCCGGAUUUAUUGGGUUUAAAGGGAGCGUAGGUGGAUGGUUAAGUCAGUUGUGAAAGUUUGCGGCUCAACCGUGAAAUUGCAGUUGAAACUGGCAGGCUUGAGUACAGUAGAGGUGGGCGGAAUUCGUGGUGUAGCGGUGAAAUGCUUAGAGAUCACGAAGAACACCGAUUGCGAAGGCAGUUCACUGGACUACAACUGACGCUGAGGCUCGAAAGUGUGGUUAGCAAACAGGAUUAGAUACCCCAGUAGUC
rnacentral:rRNA from 1 species